CAGACUAGUCCCAAGUCCUCUGUGCACGCUUUUGAUUUCCGUGACGUCACCGAGCGAAACGCGCGCAAGAGGACUAGCACAAAACGUUUUCUAGCCUGCAAAGCAGGUGCUCGCGGGCUUGGUAAAUCCCGUAAAUGUUUUCCAAUAUGGCGGAAUUCCAGGAUUUAUAAAAUUGUAUAAACAUGGAAGAAUAUGCAGAAUAUUUAAAGAUAAACGUGAGUAUUAAAGAUAUUAUGGUUGUACAAUGUAAAUAAUAAGGUAAUAUAUAAAUAACUUCUUUCAGGAAUGACGUAAAUUUAAAGUAAAUUGUAACAUUUUUUUGACUAUUAGUAGCACCCUGAUCAUCAUCUGUUGACUGAGUUCACUAAGUGCAUCUCACCCGAUAGAACUAACUGUUGAAACUUGAAAGGUUUUGUAGAUAAAUAUUUUGAGUUUAUACAUUUAUGAGUCCUGACCAAGGGCAGUUGUGAAAAAUGCAACUACAAGCCCUCUGGCAGGAAUCCAACCAGCUGCACACUUACUUUUGUAUAUAUACAUGAACGUGCAGUUAGAGCUUGUCACCUGGACUUUGUAGCUUAGUUAGUUAGAGCACUGGACCGGAAUCGCAGAGACGCAGGUUUGAUUCCUGCUAGAUGGACUAUAGAUAGCAUUUAAAUAGAGAGAUUUAUGCCCGUAUUCUAAAAGCUCACUCACACUCGAUGAGUGGAGGUUCGAUCUGAGCUUCUCUUGAGUGUCAAUGCUGAUUUGGAAUAGGGAAAGUAAGUAGUCACUGAGUACGAGGUGACACUAGCCCUCCAGCUGUUCAAAAAUAACAUUGACACUCAAGGCAAGCUCAGAUUGAACCCCCACUGGCUGAGUGUGAGUGAGCUUUCAGAAUACGGGUGUUAAAUGGUGCACUGCCAGGACAAUUUGCCCCUUUUGUUCAUAGAGAUGUGGAUUCAUUUGAGCAUAAAAGGCAAAUAUUGCAGUAACAAUAUCCACAGCAAUAAAGAGUACUUGUAUUGAGUAUUAAUAUUAUUAUGAUUAUAUAGUGAUUUGAUGCAGGUUGAUGGUCAAGUGUACAAAGUCAUUUUUCUGGAAAAAGCAACCAUCACUGAGUGCAAUAUAAAAAUUAAGCAAUAUUCCAGUGACAUGUAUCACAAGAGAUAUCUGUUGAAGAGGGCUUGGAUUGGUUUAUUGGCC
rnacentral:lncRNA from 1 species